UGCCUUUAGAACAAGUAUUAAAGGUUCAUCCUGCCCAGUGACACUAUUCAACGGCCGCGGUACCCUAACCGUGCAAAGGUAGCAUAAUCAUUUGCCUUUUAAUUGUAGGCUAGUAUGAACGGACAAACGAAAUUCUACCUGUAUCAUUUUUACCUUAUAAAAAUUAGACUUUAGGUGAAGAUACCUAAAUUACUUUGAAAGACAAGAAGACCCUAUAGAGUUUUAGUAAUUUUUACCCUUCUUAAGAGAUGUUACUUUGGUUGGGGCGACUAAGGAUUAUAUAAAACAUCCUCACUUAAAACGAACUGAUAUUUCAUUUAAAAGACCCUAUAAUAUAGACUUGCAAAAUUAACUACCUUAGGGAUAACAGGCUUAUCUUCCUAAAGAGUUCAAAUUAACAGGAAGGUCUGGCACCUCGAUGUUGGCUUAGAGUAACCUUCAGAUGCAGAAGUCUGAAAAGGUCGGUUUGUUCAACCGUUAAAUCUCU
rnacentral:rRNA from 1 species